GCGGCUUCUCGCGCGGCGGCUGUCACUCGGAGCUUCGAUAACAAUGUCAGGUCAAAAAUAAUGAACAAAUUAUUCAAUUGAAAAUCAAAAAAUCAAAAAAUAAAACAAAAUGAAAAUAUGAUGUUCAGCAGAUACAAAAGUAACAGUUAGAAACACCCAGAGAUAAUUAUAGAUAUUAGAACAGAAUAAAGUGUUAGAUCAAGUGUCUAUCGGGAAUAAAUAACUUCUUUGUAAAGGUGCAAUUGAGUGCAACUAAAAGGCACCUUCUGAUCCUGAGGUAA